rnacentral:rRNA from 1 species
GAUCAACGCUGGCGGCGUGCCUCAGACAUGCAAGUCGAACGCGAAAAGUUCCCUUCGGGGGAUGAGUAGAGUGGCGCACGGGUGAGUAACACGUAGGUAAUCUACCUUCGGAUGGGGAAUAACAACCGGAAACGGUUGCUAAUACCGCAUAAUGCAGCGGCACCUAAUGGUGACAGUUGUUAAAGCGGGGGAUCGAAAGACCUCGCGUCUGAAGAGGAGCCUGCGGCGGAUUAGCAGUUGGUAGGGUAACGGCCUACCAAGGCUACGAUCCGUAGCCGGCCUGAGAGGGGCGGUCGGCCAACACUGACACUGACAUACGGGUCAGACUCCUACGGGAGGCAGCAGUCGGGAAUUUU